rnacentral:rRNA from 1 species
AGGGGGGGCACCAGGAGGGGGGGCCCGGGUUUAAUUUUGACCAAGCCGGGGAAACCCCACCGGGCCCGGGCCUGAAGGGUUAGACAAAUGAAAACUCUUUCUUAAUUGCGGGGGGGGGGGGGCAUGGCCGUUCUUUAUUGGGGGAGGGAUUUGUUUGGUUAAUUCCAAAAACGAACGAAACUCUGACUAACUAAAAAGAAAUUUUAUCCUAAUUUUUGCCGCGCUUUUCUUAUAAACGGGCCGCGCCUGCCCGCAGCAAAAAGAGAAAUAACAUGUCCGGGUUUCCCCUACCUUUCCGGGGCUGGGCGCGCCCUACGCUUACAAAGACGAGUGCUAUGCUCCUGUUCCCAAACUACUAGGAAACCCAAGAAAAUUCUUACAUGCUUGCGAUAGGGAAUUUAUUUAUUUCUCUAUUUACUAUGAUUCCCAGUAUCUGUUGGUCUUAAGCUUGAGAUGAUUACGUCCUUGGAUCUUGUCCACUUGCCCCCCCCCCGACUGCACAUUGGAUGAUAUAGUGAG